AGGGUUUGGCAUGGAAACAAUGGCCAGCAAAGCUUGGUAAAUGAAGCCGCCUACACCGCCCUGCCCCUCCCUGCACGGCCGCGCUCCGCCUCCGCUCCUAUCUCAAUUUGAAUUGUCCUCCUGCAGCCCCACCACCCACAGUGGGGAACCGGUGAAGAGACUACAACUCCUGGAUGCACCGGGAGGCGGGUGUCGCCCCGCAUCCCCCCGCCCUGGGCUAGGCGCACAGCGCAGCCCGGAGCAGGCUGGCAUCCUAGACCCUCUGCCCUGCCAACAACACAACAACAGCCGGGGAGUGGACCUGACCCCGGAACUCCCGAAAUUUCCUGAAGACGGUUCCGCUCCCUGCCUCGCCCUUCCAGGCAGCCCAGCAGUUUCGCCCUGCGGAGGGAAGCCUUUCUGUUCUCAAAUCUCUCGUGCUGGGGAGACAGUGGAGCUAGGGCGGCUAGUUUCCCCUUGUAAUUGUGACACCUUGUCUCCUCGAGCUGCAGGCUAAUGCUUGUCGUGUUCGUAGUUUGAUUUCUCGCAGAUCAACAAAGGGCCGGUGGCCUCUCUCGGCCUCCGCGGGAGGGUUGCCAGGGUAACGCUCUUCCGCCAGACUUUGGGCGCGCCCCGCCCCUUUUCUCACACAGCCUCCUCCUCAGCCCCACCCUCUCUCGCUCCUCCCUUUCUAGUUCCCUUUCAGACAUGCGCAGUGCGGCCGUCCCUAGAGGCGGGUUAACGGCCGCGGACCUGGCAGUUCUCAGGCUUCUCCAAGGGAGAAGCCCCCUUGCCAGGGUCUCGAUUUCCCGCCAACCAACAAAGGUUCAUUUGCCUCUUAUGGCCUGCGCGGGAGGGUUGCCAUGGAGUGCCGCUUGGUCCUCGGGCUCGCAGCGUGGCCCACACCUGGGUCGGGCCUCUCACGGGGACGCUCCCGCCACUGUGAUAAAGAGGAGAAAACGUCACAGGGGAAGGGCCUGACCCUGCUGCAUCCAUUUUUUAGAUUAAGUACUGCACGACUACUCGCUUCUGAAACUGUCAUAAGAAACUGCCUCAGCUCCCUGCAGGGUGGACACACAAGAGCAGAAUCUCCGUGGGACAUCUCUUUGGAGCAUCAAUAUUACUACAGUAUUUGGAAGACACAAAUUUAAAUAAUUUCUAAGGUAAAGAAUGGAACAUUUAAGACAAGGCUGGAAAGUCAUCUGCCUUUAAUAACUCAUCUGUGCCUCACAUGUCAGACUUUCUCCAAGAAAAAAACUAAGGAGAACUUAUUUCCAUUCUUAUAAGUAGUAAAAAUAAUAAAUCAUAUCAAGUCAAUUGAAA